GCGAACGGGUGAGUAACACGUGGGCAACCUGCCCAAAAGAGGGGGAUAACACUUGGAAACAGGUGCUAAUACCGCAUAACCAUAGUUACCGCAUGGUAGCUAUGUAAAAGGUGGCUAUGCUACCGCUUUUGGAUGGGCCCGCGGCGCAUUAGCUAGUUGGUGGGGUAAAGGCUUACCAAGGCAAUGAUGCGUAGCCGAACUGAGAGGUUGAUCGGCCACAUUGGGACUGAGACACGGCCCAAACUCCUACGGGAGGCAGCAGUAGGGAAUCUUCCACAAUGGGCGAAAGCCUGAUGGAGCAACGCCGCGUGGGUGAAGAAGGUCUUCGGAUCGUAAAACCCUGUUGUUAGAGAAGAAAGUGCGUGAGAGUAACUGUUCACGUUUCGACGGUAUCUAACCAGAAAGCCACGGCUAACUACGUGCCAGCAGCCGCGGUAAUACGUAGGUGGCAAGCGUUAUCCGGAUUUAUUGGGCGUAAAGGGAACGCAGGCGGUCUUUUAAGUCUGAUGUGAAAGCCUUCGGCUUAACCGGAGUAGUGCAUUGGAAACUGGGAGACUUGAGUGCAGAAGAGGAGAGUGGAACUCCAUGUGUAGCGGUGAAAUGCGUAGAUAUAUGGAAGAACACCAGUGGCGAAAGCGGCUCUCUGGUCUGUAACUGACGCUGAGGUUCGAAAGCGUGGGUAGCAAACAGGAUUAGAUACCCUGGUA
rnacentral:rRNA from 1 species